ACUCAUGAUGCAUCAGGACAUCCACCUGAAUUAAAGUCAUACAGCUGUGAUAAGUGUGGGAAAAGUUUUACCAAAAAAAAAUUAACUUGAAUGUUCACCAGCGCAUCCACUCCAGAGUAAAACCAUGUAAGUGUGACCAGUGCGGGAAGAGAUUCACUCAGAAAGGGAAUAUGAAGAACCAUCAGUAAAGCCACACCAUGGAAAAGUCUUUCACCUGUCAUCAGUGUGGGAAGUGUUAUAUUUACAAGCAGUCUCUUACACAACAUAAGAAGUCUCAUCAACAUGAAAUAUAUUCACCUCAGGUCUAAAGUUUUAUUUGGUUGACAUACAAAGAUCUCAGAGAGGUCAACAAAAGAUAUGUCUGACCUGAGUUAAGGCAUUUCAAUACAAAUUAUGUGAAAGCACCUU